rnacentral:miRNA from 1 species
ACGUUCGCGCACGUCCAGCGG